AUUGAACGCUGGCGGCAUGCUUUACACAUGCAAGUCGAACGGUAACAGGUUAGGCUGACGAGUGGCGAACGGGUGAGUAAUGCAUCGGAACGUGCCCGGUCGUGGGGGAUAACGCAGCGAAAGCUGCGCUAAUACCGCAUACGAUCUGAGGAUGAAAGCGGGGGACCGUAAGGCCUCGCGCGAUCGGAGCGGCCGAUGUCAGAUUAGGUAGUUGGUGGGGUAAAGGCUCACCAAGCCAACGAUCUGUAGCUGGUCUGAGAGGACGACCAGCCACACUGGGACUGAGACAAGGCCCAGACUCCUACGGGAGGCAGCAGUGGGGAAUUUUGGACAAUGGGCGAAAGCCUGAUCCAGCAAUGCUGCGUGCAGGAAGAAGGCCUUCGGGUUGUAAACUGCUUUUGUACGGAGCGAAAAGGUCUCCUCUAAUACAGGGGGCUCAUGACGGUACCGUAAGAAUAAGCACCGGCUAACUACGUGCCAGCCGCCGCCGUAA
rnacentral:rRNA from 1 species